AUUGGUGAACAUUUCUAUAUCCCCCUUUCUAUCUUCGAAUUCGAACUUAAUUAUAGGGCACGUUCAGAAAAAAGGAAAUUACCUUGUUGCAACCAUCAAUCAAUAGAUGGCUUGUAAGGUUAAGGGUGUGAUUAUAUUGGCUUAUUGGAGGUUUAAGUUUGGUUUGUACGUAAAACAGCAAGACUAACCGGUGACAUGAACAUAGACAAAAAGUACGUAUUGAACAAUUAAAAGAACUAAUUUGAGACACCUUUGGACCCGUUUCUGAGCCGAAUUCGGAGUCAGCUCCGCCCGAGGCGGAGCGGAUUCGGACCGAGGUCGGACUUGUUUGCUUGAAGGGUAGGCACGAAUCGGCCCAUUCACCUCGACCCUCAUGUAACCACAUAAAGUACGAACUUUUCAAGCAAGAAAACGGAGUUCAGAAAAGACACUCCGACCUCCGACCGCGAAAGACGGGGUUGCACUCACACACUUGCAACUUUUUGUAUAUGAACACAAAGUCGAAGGAGAAAUCGUGGUGAAAAAACCAAUACAUAUAAAAUCGGCUCCGCGGUGAUUCUAAUUUCCAUACUAAUUUGAGCCGCCUUCGGACCAGUUUCUGCCACGAAGUCGGACUCAGCUCCAGCUGAGGGGGAGCGGAUUCGGACCGAGGUCGGACCUGUUUGCUUGAAGGGAAGUCUGAAAAAUGGUUGGUCGGUGUCAGUCCAUACACUAUAAUUUAUGUCACAUCAAUUUGGAAAUUCAACAUGGUUUUAAGUUAUGCUUCCAGCUGGAGUUUUCAUCGAUGGAUAUCGUCACAAGUAGGUCUUGGAGGCAGUUCAACAGGCGUCCGCAACAGUAUAUUAUUUGGGUGUCGUGUAUAGUAACUUUUUUCAAUUUAUUGAAAUGUUUUCGUUGCACAUAGAGCCAUCUGGAGUUGUUUUUUUAAAUAUUUUUUUGUGCUUAUUUUGAAAAAAAAAAUACAUAUGAAAACGAUAACAGAUUAAAAUAAAAAAAAAUUGCUGUCAAAUUUGCGUCGUAUAAAAAAUACAACGUGCAGAAGCGCGCGACGCCGACGCACCGAAGGGAAAAUCAAAAGAAAAUUCGAAGCUAAUUUCUGCGCCUUGCAUCUUCGUGUAGAAGCAGACUAAAUUGUUGCUGACUGUUUAAAGCUGAAACACAAUCACGCUUUGCCGUCGAUUUUGACAACUGCGAAAAGUUCAACUAUAGGAAAUCUGUGUAUCCUCACACAAUGACGCUUUUCUUACGUACGCUUUUUUUGACAAACGUAAGGAAACGUAAGAAAGCGAGCAAAAGUUCAACCAGACUGAACUUUUGCUCGCUUUCUGACAUUUAACAGACAUAGUUACAUUCACAGUACACAUAAUAAGGUAAUAUAUUCCGAACGUUGUCAAAAUUUGUUUGUCAAAAAUGGGCACCAAUCUGUCAAAUCGGCCUUUGAUUUUUAUAUUUUAAUCGCAGUAAACAGGAAAUUUGUUUUUGUAUUAAUUUAUAAAAUGUCAUUUAAGAUAAUUAUAAAUGGGAAAAUAACAAAUUUUCUUGGUGUUUCUUCGCGGAAAAUGGUCGAUAAUUGUUAAAAAAUUAGUGUUGUGCGUGGUUUUUCGGUUUUUGUGCGUUUUUCGUCGGUAUUUUAAAACAAUUAAGAAUUCGAUAGCUGACGUUGGUCGCCAAAUUGUCAUGUUUUGACAAUUUGGCGAGUGAGUUACAUUCACCCACAUUAUUAUUGCGCCAAAUGUUAAUAAAAAAAAAUAAAUUGUUGCAAAA